rnacentral:piRNA from 2 species
CAGAGCAGCUCCCUCGCUGCGAUC